GUUGUAUGGUUAAGUGACUAAGCGUACACGGUGGAUGCCUUGGCAGUCAGAGGCGAUGAAAGACGUAGUAACUUGCGAUAAGCCCAGAUUAGGUAGUAACAACCAUUUGAGUCUGGGAUUUCUGAAUGGGGAAACCCACGUGCAUAAGCACGUAUCCUUACCUGAAUACAUAGGGUAAGGAGGCGAACCGGGGGAACUGAAACAUCUAAGUACCCCGAGGAAAAGAAAUCAACCGAGAUUCCGAAAGUAGCGGCGAGCGAAAUUGGACUAGCCCUUAAGCUUUACACGCGUUAGACGAACGGUCUGGAAAGUCCGACGAUACAGGGUGAUAGUCCCGUAGUUGACGACGUGUGUUCAGUGAAAUCGAGUAGGGCGGGACACGUGAUAUCCUGUCUGAAUAUGGGGGGACCAUCCUCCAAGGCUAAAUACUACUGACUGACCGAUAGUGAACCAGUACCGUGAGGGAAAGGCGAAAAGAACCCCUGUGAGGGGAGUGAAAUAGAACCUGAAACCGUGUACGUACAAGCAGUAGGAGCAGGCUUGUCCUGUGACUGCGUACCUUUUGUAUAAUGGGUCAGCGACUUAUAUUCAGUGGCAAGGUUAACCAUCUAGGGGAGCCGUAGGGAAACCGAGUCUUAACUGGGCGUUCAGUCUCUGGAUAUAGACCCGAAACCAGGUGAUCUAGCCAUGGGCAGGUUGAAGGUUGAGUAACAUCAACUGGAGGACCGAACCGACUAAUGUUGAAAAAUUAGCGGAUGACUUGUGGCUAGGGGUGAAAGGCCAAUCAAACCUGGAGAUAGCUGGUUCUCCCCGAAAGCUAUUUAGGUAGCGCCUCGGACGAAUACUACUGGGGGUAGAGCACUGUUAAGGCUAGGGGGUCAUCCCGACUUACCAACCCUUUGCAAACUCCGAAUACCAGUAAGUACUAUCCGGGAGACACACGGCGGGUGCUAACGUCCGUCGUGGAGAGGGAAACAACCCAGACCGCCAGCUAAGGUCCCAAAUUACUACUAAGUGGGAAACGAUGUGGGAAGGCUCAGACAGCCAGGAUGUUGGCUUAGAAGCAGCCAUCAUU
rnacentral:rRNA from 1 species